GUCUACGGCCAUACCACCCUGAACGCGCUGGAUCUCGUCUGAUCUCGGAAGCUAAGCAGGGUCGGGCCUGGUUAGUACAUGGACGGGAGAUAAUAAUGGGAGGAAAGCCCUUGUUUUAACCUUAGUUUUGGAAUCA
rnacentral:rRNA from 1 species